rnacentral:rRNA from 1 species
UACAGAGGGGGCGAGCGUUAUUCGGAAUUAUUGGGCGUAAAGGGCGCGUAGGCGGCCUGUCAAGUCAACUGUGAAAUCUCCGGGCUUAACUCGGAACGGUCAGUUGAUACUGUCAGGCUAGAGUGCAGAAGGGGCAAUCGGAAUUCUUGGUGUAGCGGUGAAACGCGUAGAUAUCAAGAGGAACACCUGAGGUGAAGACGGGUUGCUGGGCUGACACUGACGCUGAGGCGCGAAAGCCAGGGGAGCAAACGGG